UUGUCAAAUAUGAACUAUUUAUGAGGGUCGAUUUCUGUGCUACUAAUGUCUACUGCCUUCUCCACCCUUCCAGCGGUGUACAGGACGUCCUCCUCAAAGCGUCCAUCCCCGACGAGCUCCCUUUGCUGGAGGUGGAGCAGCAAGUCCAGCGCCCGCUUGUCUCCUGUGUCCUAUCGCGCGUGGACAAGCUCACCAAUGGCUGCUUCUUCCUUCCCUCCUAACGUGGUGAGCUUAUCCCCUCUCCCCACAUUACCCCCAAAUCUGGAUGACACUUGCAAUCUGAAUACAAAUCAUGUUUUGCUUCAGUUUAGAGGUGGAGUCAGUUUCUGAGAUGAACGUCUGAGCUUGAUUAGUUGUGAUGGUUUUGUGGGUCUGAUUCUCUUGCACUAUUACCCAUAACUUAAUUAGGGCAAGCUAAUGCUAAUCCAGAUAAUACUCCCUCCGUUCGAAAAUACUUGUCAUCAAAAUGGAUAAAAAGGGAUGUAUCUAGAACUAAAAAACGUCUAGAUACAUCUUUUUUUAUUCAUUUUGAUGACAAGUAUUUCCGGACGGAGGGAGUAUGAUGUUACGCAGACAGGGGCUCUCCUCUCGUGAUUUUUAUUUCCUUUGAUGUGAUCCUGAAGAAAAAGAACGCAUCUAUGCGUAGUAAAAAUUCAGUACGAUUUUGUUAAAGCCUUGGAUGUAUAAUAGGCCAAAGCAAGGAGUGUGCUGGAUUGAGCAGUGUAAUGGAAUUGUAACUCCAAGCUGUUGUGGCAUGUCAUCUGCCUUCAACCCAAUAUUAUGUGAGCAUUGCCUUGUUCCACACAGUCCUCUUAAUUUGCACCGAUUUGAUUCAACUUUGUGUGUAUAGAAAAUAUACCUUGCUGUUUUGCUGGACUGUUUUUGUUUCAAAUUUGCUAGACUAAAUAUGUGCACAAAUAUCAAUGUUAGACUUGCCCAGAUUGUUUUAUGAUAACUGGAUACCAAUAGAUUAUGAUCUUGAGCUGUUAGUUAUUUGAUAAAGAUCGGUCCAAUCACAUUUGUAACAUACUUCGAGCACUAGCAGCUCACAGCAGGUAACCAGGCUGCAUUCUUGGCCUUAGUUACUUGCAGAAUAUGUGGUGCAAUGAUCUUAGUUAUGACAUUGUGAGAUGUUAUACAAGAUUAGCUACAUCAGCUGUGAGUAUUGCUGCAUUUGCGAUAAAUUGGCUCUGUCAUGUAAAAUAAUACACCCUAUUAUUGUAACUUUCAAUAGAAUGGAAAUCAUAUAAGAAUUACAAAAAGUGUUGUCAAUUCAGAUUGCUCUAAUGACAACGUUUCUCCUAAUUCAAUAUGUGGAUAUGAAUAAGCAUACUGAUUUAUCAGUAAAAAGAGCUGGCAAUGCUCCUAAAAUGUAUUUGUCCCUGUUGGCAACGCACGGGCAAUUACCUAGUUAAGAUGAAAAAGGGUUUGUUUCCUUUCUGUUUCGAUGUUUGCCUUUAUUACAAGAAUAAAAAGUAUUGCUUAUGUUAUUUAUUUCUUACAGUGGGUACGAAAGUGCCUCCUCUUAACUUACUUUUUCAUACUUUUUCAGAGUUUCACAUACCUUAUAUUUUGCAGCACCUGAGAGACUGCAUCGUAGGAAAUUCAGAAUGUUUUCAUAGCGUGAUUUAGAUUUAGUGUAGUGAUAGCCUGGAACUUCAUGUCAAAUAAGCAGUGGAGUAUACUACCAACUCCAUUUUAUAUUGUGACAUAUUUCUCAUCAUGUGGCAGAUAUUUGUUUAUUGGUGCAUCUUCAACAACGAAGACAUGUGUUCUCAAGACUGGUGUGGAUGGGUGGAUCUAACGACUAGGAAUGCGGGAUGACCUGUGGUUGAUGUCCGACGAGCGUUGGGCCUUGCUUGAUGGGGGCGUUGCUGAUUGUAGAGUAGCAUAGUGUUCUUCAAUAUAUGCUUGUAAAAUAAAUAUUGUUUUGGUCGUUUUUUUUGCUCAUGUACAUGUAUUUUUUAGUGUGUUUACAUAUUUUUGUUUUUUCAAUGACAUGAGCAUAUAUAUUUUCUGUCAAAUUAUUAUUUUCUUAAAUUUCCAUGGACAAGAGAAACGACAUGUGGGCUUGUCCUGGAUUGAAAUUAAU
rnacentral:lncRNA from 1 species